CUCACGAAAUUAAAUGCUCGUUCAACUUUUUUCAAAAUCUUAAAAAUAUUAGAAACCGCCCCAAACGGGAGAAAAAUAUUACAUCCAGGGCUAUUUACGUUCGAAGUCCAAUAAUAAGGCGGCGAUGGCCAGUGGAGGCGCGGUAAUGUGCGAGGCGGAGCAGAUGAUGUCUGUAGCGGGUUAGGGCAAGAGAUCGGCAGGACAGCUUAUGUUCAAUACUCCCAUUGUUGACAUCCAUUUGAACUGCUUUUGGUUUGGGAAAGUUCACUAUUCACAUACUUCUACUUACAUGUUUCUGUAUGACAAUCGUUUCCUUAUGAGCUGGAGUAAAUUUGUCCGGUACAAAGGGGCUCCUUGAAAUACUGUGCUUUUGGCUGGCCUUAAAACCAAAGACACUCUUAUAUGAAGAGGGAUUGAUCGGUUGACAUCACCUCUUGCUAUUUAUAGCUUAAAUGGAAUAGGAGAAUCUUCUCUAAUGAGGCAACCAAUACUUAUGUUAUCAAAUAAAGAAUUCAUUUUGCUGCGAGUCUUAAAAGCAGGAAAGGGAAAGUCAAAGGUAAUACACCUACUAUUAUUAGCAGUUUGCACUCUACCAGGGUGCAGCUUUUUGGGUACUGUUAUGCAGAUGGUUCUUGGUUCAGUUAUUUUACGAUUCAUUUUUUUACACACAUUGGCAGCUUUAUUACCGGCACAUAUGCAGAUGGUUAUUUAUUCAGCUUCCUUAAGUAUCUAUUGUUUUGCACACACUGGGAUUAAUUCUGUGGAUAUCUGUCGUUUUGCUCACACUAAGAUGUAGCUUGUGGCACUAUUUCAUUCUAUCUGCUCAUCUCACCAGCCAAUAGAUUUUCUCUUGCCACUCCAAUUACUCAACUGGUUUUCCUCCAUCGGUUUUGUUGCUUUUAUUUUGCAUAUGAUAGUCCACUUGAUUGGGAUUUGCAGCAAUUUUCGGUUUUAUUUUGGAGCUAUGAUGAAGAAUCAUUCUCACAAUCAUGAGUUAACCAAUUAUCCGUUGCAGCUCUAUAUUCGGUUCUGUGAUCUAUUUUGUAGCCUUGAUACUACUCUUGAUCCUUCAGCCAUCCUUUUCUUCAUCAUCUCUCUUGCAGGGUGUUCAGGUCUUUCUCUUCUCAGCUGAAUUCAUGUGCAGAUAACUACAUUCCACUGCUUACCUGAUGGAUCCCUGGCUAUUUGCUGGUUGACUCUCUGUGCUUCUCUCGAUCCUCAGACUUUUUGUGCCGAUCUUUAUUAUGAUACUCUCUGGAUAACUCUAAAUGCAGUUUGAUAUUUGAGUGAUUGGGUUAGCGCACGAGAUCGACAGGACAGGUACUUGUAAUUUUUGUUGAUAGACUAAGAAGAUCAGAGAAGAUCAAAGAUGACUUACCUUUUCAUUCAAUUAAUCAUAAUAAUCAUAAUCUCGACUCAUCAUUAUGAUGAUAUGAAAAUUACCAAGAAUUAACUAAUUGUCCCGCAUCUAUUUCAUAAAUGA